UGCCAGCGAGUGCUGAGCUCAUUGGCAUGUAUUAGCUCAAGAAUUACCACAGUUACAAGUAUGUCAGACUCAA